AGACCGUGAGGUGGAGCAAAACUCAAAAACUUAGUCUCAGUUCGGAUUGUAGGCUGAAACUCGCCUACAUGAAGCUGGAGUUGCUAGUAAUCGCGAAUCAGCAUGUCGCGGUGAAUACGUUCCCGGGCCUUGUACACACCGCCCGUCACACCAUGAGAGUUGGCAAUACCCAACGUACGUGAUCUAACCCGCAAGGGAGGAAGCGUCCUAAGGUAGGGUCAGCGAUUGGGGUGAAGUCGUAACAAGGUACC
rnacentral:rRNA from 1 species